rnacentral:lncRNA from 1 species
CUUCCUUCUUUCCUUCCUUCUUCCUCUCUCUCUCUCUCUCUCUCUCUCUCUCUCUCUCUGUGUGUUCUGAGAUAGGGUCUCAUGUGAGACUGAAAGAGACUCCAUUUUGUGAAUGUGGGACCAGAAUGACUCCAUUUUGUCCAAAAUGGAGCAGUCGCCUUUGUUUUCUCAAAUUAGUGCUUGAACUGGGACAAAGGACGUAAUCCACAACUCAGGAUUUCUAAAUUUAUUACUCAGCCAUCUGUUUGCCCUAGAAACAAAUGUCCUGGGCCCACUAUCUAUAGGACAAUCUGUUAACGUGCUGACUGUCCACACAAGGUGGUCAUGGCCAUUAGUCAGGAUGUCUGCUG